CUCCUGUGUACGUAUCAGACAGAUGGGCCCUGGUGAACCGAAAUUUGCACGGCGACGACGGAUGGAGGCCGAGCCGUGGCCCGAGACGUCACCGGCGUCCUGACCCGUGGAUCAGAAUCGGCGCCUUCCGGUAGCGCCGGCAGUGCACGCAGUAAUUGCUUGUAGGUAGGAAACUGGUAGGUGAGGAAGUGUCUUUGGACUUCGCAUUCUUCCCAGGCGGCGAGGUGCUGCGGAGAUCUACUACGACGAAGGCGAUUGGGCGCUCCAGCGAGGUCCGAGGCCAUGGAGUUCUUGAUGCAGCCGAUAAACAGAACGCUACUGGUGGAGGUGAACGAUAAUGACAUCACGAUGGGUGCUGUGCGUGUCCCGCUGGAUGCGCCAGCAUAUGUUGAGCUUGCAGCGCCGGCUGCUUCGAGUGCGGAUGGCCAGAUCUGGCGUGAGGAGGGCGGUGCAGAGGCUGGAAGUGCAGAUAAGGCUCAGUGUUCGGAGCACUCCAUAGAACAAUUGGACCCAAAAACACCAGGUUGGACACAAAGAGUGCAUGUAGGUGCUGCUGCUCUGGGCAGGGCUCCUUGCGCGGACAGGGUGACAGUCCUGGAGAAGACAAUCCGGGAAUUUGCAGAGCAACCUGGAGACAUUGUCAUUGUGCCAAGAUAGGAACAAGUUUCGACACACUUGGUGAGGCCUAUAACUUUUACAACUUGUACUCUUGGGAGAAAGGAUUUGGAAUUAGAUAUGGAAAGAGCAGAAUGAAUGUCAACUGGACAAAGUGUAUGCAAGAGAUAGUAUGUGGAUCCGCGGUAUGACAGGGGAAACCAAUUGUUGAAAAUACACGUUCAUGUCGAUGUGAAUGCCCAGCUCUCAUGAGAUUGUUGCGGAAGUAUAUGAGCUUAAUCUUUGACAGUGAGUCUGAAGAGAAUUAUGAGGAGAAGUGGACAGCAAUCAUAAGCACCCCCACCCCCCCACCCCCCCCCCCCCCCCCCCCCAAUGCUAUGAGAUUUUGAAAUACUACUGAUGUGGUCUGACUGGCUUCAUUACUAACGUCUGAACUUUUUUUAUGUUGGUAGGGAAGGCAGCUAAUGCGAGCAAAUAUGGCAACGGAGAGACAUGCCGGCAAGAUAUAUACUAGAGCUAUGUUUGAACAGUUAGGGCAUAUACUUUUAUGAGUGUGGUGCAUAUCAAGUGGAGGAGAUCGAAAAGGGUAAAAGGUAUGUUGCAAUACAUACUGAUACAACUCGGAGGGAGAGGUCGUGCAGAACUUCUCACAAGGUGACGGUGAUUGAAGGAGGGGAAGAAUGUGACUGUGAGUGUGGACAAUUUGCACACAUGGGGCUGUUGUGCAGCCACAUCCUGAAGGUGCUAGACUUCAUCCGUGUGACCGAAAUCCCAAAGAAACGUAUUGUGAAGAGGUGGACUAGAGAUGCGAGAGAUAUCCUUCCAGCACACCUUAUGCGGUACCAGAAGGACAAUGCUUAAGAAAACCCAUUCAAUUUCCGUCAUUUCAACAUGUAUAUGCAAGCUAUGGAGCUUGUGCGGAUGCGGGGUUGUAAUGUCGCAGUAUAUGAACAUUUGAUUUCAUUGUUCAAGCAUUGUGCAGCUGAAAUGAAGCCAUUCGCUGAUGUCCGAGAUGGAUUAGGACUGGAAGACAGGUUAGCAGACAAUAUGAAAGUGCCAAAUAGGGUACAAUCACAAGGAGAUGUAUACCCAGAGGUAGAUGGUACGCAUAUUACAAAUGGUGGCGGUGACAGCAAUUCAGCAAAUGAGUUUGCUGCCAGCUAAACGGAAGCAACUCGAUAGACCUACAACAAGUAGGGAGAAAGCACCAUAUGAAGGUUUGAGUAAGAGAACAAGAUUUUGUGGCAUCUGCAGGCAGCAAGGCCACAAGCGAACAACUUGCCCUGAACGCGGGGAUGUACCGAAACAACACCAUGGGGAUGCACCUCUCAAACUGAAGUGAGAGGUGCCUCAUGGGAGCUUUCUCGGGGUGGUUCUUCAGUGAUAGAAAUUGAAGAAUACUCAAAGGGGUGCAAUGGUUUGAUCCAGCUAGUUCUGAAACAUCAGUUAACCAGGCAGAUGAGCGUGCGCAUGUGAGGAGUGGGGAUUCAGGGAUUUCCUCUCUGUCCCUGCAGGUUACCGGCGCUGGCGAUCUUAGUGAUGCAGAGGAGGUAGAGGAGCUGGCCGUCCCACAUGGGGAGCAAGGUGGAGGUAGUGCAGAUGAGGGAUACGGCGAGCAUGACCCUGCUGCUUGUGACUCUGAAGGCGAGUGUGCAAAUUCAGAGAGUCUGUACUUAAAAGAAGAUGACACUGUAGAGGAGAGCAACCGCAACAACGCCAAGCGUGCUAGAAUUAACUAGGAGUUGGCAAAGUGUAAUGCAUGGUGUGUUCAUUCAGCGUAGGUAAUGACGCCUUUGCCUAGCUGAUGACGUGCGCAGUGAAUAAUUAGUGUGCGUGUGUGUAGAAUCUGUGCAUCUUUGUCCGGUGAUUGUUCAGUCCAGUGAGAAACAAUGUAAGACCUCUGUUUCUGCUUGAUUAAAAUAAUGACGAUUUGCCAUUUCGUUGA